CUUGGGAGAGGCUGACUUGGCUGGUGUUGUACAGAGAAACCAGCUUGUUUACCUGCCCAUUCCAUG